GCAGGUUUGAAACACGCCAUUAAUACAUUACCUUAAAAUUAAGUCUUGCAAAGAAACAAAAAAGCAUCAUUCCCCAAGAUCAGUAUCAGGUUUAUUUCAAUAUGCAAAUCUGGGUUUGGGUCUCCCAGAGCAGUGUUUCGAGUUAUAGUCUUAAUGGGAAGACCACUUCAGGGACCACAAAGGGGGAGCACUGAACAAACA
rnacentral:misc_RNA from 1 species